rnacentral:misc_RNA from 1 species
ACAGAUGAUUAUAUGUUCUGGAUAUGUGUCAUUGCCCUAUUUGCCUUCUCAUUUCUCUUCAACUUCUGCUUCAUCUUGGCGCUGACUUACUUAAACCCACUUGCUGAUUCUAAAUCUGUUAGUAUGGAUGAUGACAAAAGUAAGAAAAACGAGCUAAGUAACUUUAACCCCAAAGAAUCAACAGAGAAAAGUUCAGUAUCUACCACCGCAACAUUUAAA